ensembl:lncRNA
CAGCAGAAUACUUGGGAAUAAUGCCAGCCAAAUGUAGAAAAGUUUUCAGGACCUUUGAAGAAGGCUGUCAUUUGUCUUUUCUGACAAAUUACUUCAUUUUGGAAGCUCACCAAUUAUUUCAUAUUCAAGCACCAUUUUUUGGAACAGUGUGUCCACAAAGGCUAUUCUGUUUCAAUAUGGCUAUUCUGAUGUUACCCCACAGCGACCAGCCCUUGGGGACGUUGGCAGGUACAUUGAAAGAUCUGUCAGCAGAAGAACUGGGUGGAAGCUGCCUUCAGAAGAUGAAUAGACAUUGCCCAGAAUCCCUUAGACAGUCUGGUAUGGGAAGGGAAGUAGAAGUGAAGCCUGAAGCUGAGAAGUGGUGAGAGCUGCAACUCCUGUUCCCAAAGUCUUGGAGCCUGUUACUUCCAUUCCCAAAGCCUAGGUUGGGACUAGCCUGCAGCGAAAUCCUAGCUCCGCAGAAGUGAAUGGGAGCUUCGCCAAUGCUUUAUUUUUCUGUAUUUCUGAUGUUUAACUCUAUGAACAAACUGAAAAUAAACAUGUAAAAAACAAACA